UGUUUGCAUUUAACUCGGGGGGAGAAAUAUAGGAUGGCCGGACGUGCGCACUGUCACAACUCGCCGAAACACAAAACGCGUCGUUAGCACGUAUCCGUUCGUUAACACGACGGACGGAUUUACAGAAAUGAUUUAUUAACUAUGUAUGUUAAUUCAGGACGAUAUGUAAACAGUUGUGAUUUAUCUGUAUCCAUCGCAAAUAUAAUUAUUUUGGAUAAGCCUUGAAGAAUCACCAUUUCGCGCCUCAAAUGAAGCGAAAUAUCAAAACGAGAGGGAAUCCGGGUGAACACAAUUGGCUUCCUCGUACUUUAUACGAUAAUACGCGACCUACUCGGUUUCUGACGUAACGACCUCGAGCUUUAGAAGAUCUUCAGCUUCUAGCGAUUCUACGUGCAGAUGCGACCUACCUUAUAGCAAACGGUGACAAUCGCUGCGAAGACUUCCAUUUUUCAAAGCGAGAGAGCAGCAAGACAUAUCUUCCGCAUCGUGGGGAACUAGCACGUCGGCACUUUCUACAUCGAUCGCUCUAAAUAACUCGCCCGGUAAAUUUAUUAUACUCGGCACCCUUUCAAAAAGAACUCCGCAAAACUUGUUCCAAGGUAGAAUCUCUUUUCUAGAAAGCCGUGUCCUCGUCGCAGAAAAAUUGUGUACGUACCUAUAUCGAGAAGUAACUUAUGGUUAACGCGGGUAAAGUGCAAUAUGCGUUACAUCCCAGAUAAGUACGUUAUGCACCGAUGGCAAUAUUUUACACUUCUCAUGCGCCACAUUUCGUUGGCGAUUUAAUUUAAUAGUAAUGCUCUUGAAGCUUAAAUGAACACGAUGUUAAACGGGAGCUAGUGCAAAUAUUCCUAACAUUCAUAUUAUGUUGAUGAUUUUUAGGAUUUAAUUUGCAUUCUAACUUUAUGAAUUUAAUACGCAAAUAUCGCCAAGUAAAGUUGUACGCUCGCAAAGUAAUUUCAGUUCCAGUUCCAAAUUCCAUUACAUCAAAUCUGAAUAAUUAUAUGUGUGCAAAUACCGCGUCACCAUGGCACCAUGGCACAGUG